rnacentral:misc_RNA from 1 species
GGACAGGGAUCAUGAGAAGAAUCAUGAUGAUGAUUACUACUCGCCAAGGAGAUCCAGGUCACAGUCUCGGUCUAUUUCUCCAAGGGAUGACAGAAAUUGUAGGUCUAAAGGAAGAUCUUCAAGACAAUCAAGACCAAUGUCAAGGUCAAAUUCUCCAUGCAUUCAGAAAAAAGGCAGGUUCAUCAGCAUGACUCCAAGAGAUAAUAGUCAGAUUGCUCAUGAUGUGGACUCCACCCCAAGGAGGCUCAAGAGUCCUGGAAGAAAUGGAGGUAGUUCAGCCAGAUCUCCGUCUAGGUCCUACAGUCGUUGACGGUUUGCUCAUUGUUAUCACCAUCUGCUGAUCUUUUUUGGAGGUCUUGGGAAUAUCUUGGUCUAGAUGAUUG